rnacentral:rRNA from 1 species
GACGAACGCUUGCGGCGUGCUUAACACAUGCAAGUCGAACGGAAAGGCCCUGCUUUUGUGGGGUGCUCGAGUGGCGAACGGGUGAGUAACACGUGAGUAACCUGCCCUUGACUUUGGGAUAACUUCAGGAAACUGGGGCUAAUACCGGAUAGGAGCUCCUGCUGCAUGGUGGGGGUUGGAAAGUUUCGGCGGUUGGGGAUGGACUCGCGGCUUAUCAGCUUGUUGGUGGGGUAGUGGCUUACCAAGGCUUUGACGGGUAGCCGGCCUGAGAGGGUGACCGGCCACAUUGGGACUGAGAUACGGCCCAGACUCCUACGGGAGGCAGCAGUGGGGAAUAUUGCACAAUGGGCGGAAGCCUGAUGCAGCAACGCCGCGUGCGGGAUGACGGCCUUCGGGUUGUAAACCGCUUUCGCCUGUGACGAAGCGUGAGUGACGGUAAUGGGUAAAGAAGCACCGGCUAACUACGUGCCAGCAGCCGCGGUGAUACGUAGGGUGCGAGCGUUGUCCGGAUUUAUUGGGCGUAAAGGGCUCGUAGGUGGUUGAUCGCGUCGGAAGUGUAAUCUUGGGGCUUAACCCUGAGCGUGCUUUCGAUACGGGUUGACUUGAGGAAGGUAGGGGAGAAUGGAAUUCCUGGUGGAGCGGUGGAAUGCGCAGAUAUCAGGAGGAACACCAGUGGCGAAGGCGGUUCUCUGGGCCUUUCCUGACGCUGAGGAGCGAAAGCGUGGGGAGCGAACAGGCCUAGAUACCCUGGUAGUCCACGCUGUAAACGGUGGGUACUAGGUGUGGGGUCCAUUCCACGGGUUCCGUGCCGUAGCUAACGCUUUAAGUACCCCGCCUGGGGAGUACGGCCGCAAGGCUAAAACUCAAAGGAAUUGACGGGGCCCCGCACAAGCGGCGGAGCAUGCGGAUUAAUUCGAUGCAACGCGUAGAACCUUACCUGGGUUUGACAUGGAUCGGGAGUGCUCAGAGAUGGGUGUGCCUCUUUUGGGGUCGGUUCACAGGUGGUGCAUGCCUGUCGUCAGCUCGUGUCGUGAGAUGUUGGGUUAAGUCCCGCAACGAGCGCAACCCUUGUUCACUGUUGCCAGCACGUUAUGGUGGGGACUCAGUGGAGACCGCCGGGGUCAACUCGGAGGAAGGUGGGGAUGACGUCAAGUCCUCAUGCCCCUUAUGUCCAGGGCUUCACGCAUGCUACAAUGGCUGGUACAGAGAGUGGCGAGCCUGUGAGGGUGAGCGAAUCUCGGAAAGCCGGUCUCAGUUCGGAUUGGGGUCUGCAACUCGACCUCAUGAAGUCGGAGUCGCUAGUAAUCGCAGAUCAGCAACGCUGCGGUGAAUACGUUCCCGGG